rnacentral:rRNA from 1 species
GACGAACGCUGGCGGCGUGCUUAACACAUGCAAGUCGAACGGGAUCCGGGCUUUCGGGCUUGGUGAGAGUGGCGAACGGGUGAGUAACACGUGAGUAACCUGCCCCCUUCUUUGGGAUAACGUCGGGAAAUCGGCGCUAAUACUGGAUAUUCUUGCUGCAUCGCAUGGUGUGGUUUGGAAAGGGUUUCUGGUGGGGGAUGGGCUCGCGGCCUAUCAGCUUGUUGGUGGGGUGAUGGCCUACCAAGGCUUUGACGGGUAGCCGGCCUGAGAGGGUGUCCGGCCACACUGGGACUGAGACACGGCCCAGACUCCUACGGGAGGCAGCAGUGGGGAAUAUUGCACAAUGGGCGCAAGCCUGAUGCAGCGACGCCGCGUGAGGGAUGACGGCCUUCGGGUUGUAAACCUCUUUCAGUAUGGAACAAGGAUCCUUCUUUUGGGGGGUUUGAGGGUACGUGCAGAAGAAGCGCCGGCUAACUACGUG